GGGAGUUCAAGAAAUAGCUAAUUUUUUUCUAAAUCAAAUCAAUUAAAGAUAAAAAUUUUGCCUUUGCUGAUAUCUUGAAUGUCAUCAAGUUUAGCCAAUAUCUUGUGGCAUUAGGGAAAAGAUAUUGAAAGCCUUAAAAUAACUCGGAUAAUCUUUUUGUACUUGUGAAUUUGAAUGAGUAAUCAGAAACAUAUGGUUUAGGGUUGAAACCUUUUCUUUUGGUAUGAUGUUCUUUUAUAGAGUUCUAUAAGAUACAAAUUUACUCUGUGCUUGCAGAC
rnacentral:misc_RNA from 1 species